rnacentral:rRNA from 1 species
UACGGAGGAUGCAAGCGUUAUCCGGAAUGAUUGGGCGUAAAGCGUCCGCAGGUGGCUGUGUAAGUCUGCUGUCAAAGAGCGAAGCUCAACUUCGUAAAGGCAGUGGAAACUACACGGCUAGAGUGCGUUCGGGGCAGAGGGAAUUCCUGGUGUAGCGGUGAAAUGCGCAGAUAUCUGGAGGAACACCGGUGGCGAAGGCGGCAUCCUGGACCGGCAUUGACGCUGAGGCGCGAAAGCCAGGGGAGCAAACGGG